ensembl:miRNA
AUGAUGACAUGGGGGAAGGUUUGAGGAGGGCUGGCCUCUGUGCCUGGAUACUUUAUACAUGUAAUUGUGAUGAGGAUGGAUAGCAAGGAAGCCUCUCCCACCUGACCCUCA